AAAUCUGGCAGGGUUUACAGACUUCAUGGGCGGGAGAGAUAAGAAAACCUCAGGAGCUGACAACCAUCCACUCAUUGGGCACUUACGAUAAAACGUUUGGAAGAGAGAGAAUACCCAUGUGAUCAACACUUGUAUGAGGUACAGCUCCAAAGGAGGUGGUCAGCUUUCCAUAACAGUUCCCAUCUGUUGACUACAUGCCAAGUAUCACACUGCAUACCUGACAGGAAGCAGAUUUCUCUUACUAAGAAGAAGGCAUUCAGCCAUGGCAUCUGUGAUCAUGUGACUUUGGCGCCGGCCCAGACGAUGGAAGGGAUGCGUGUUGGGAAGAACCAUUUUGAGGACAUGCCUGAGGUGGUGCAGUUGGUAAAGAAUCUGCCUGACAGUG